rnacentral:rRNA from 1 species
AUGCAACACAUCUUCUCCUUCGGGCUGGCAACUGGGAAGCAUGCCAUGGGCUCGGGGGAGCCUCUUGGUUCUCCCAUGCCAGACUUCCCUGGGACCCCGGACGUCGAGGUCCUUGAUGGCCCUGACAAGCCAGCUGCGAAGCCCUUCGACAAGCCAUUUUACCCCGUCCAUGAUAGGAAGAGGAAGAGAGGAGGCCUGAUGGAGGAGGAUAUCAAUGUCUUUUGCAGCAUGACUGAGGCAGUGAAGGAGGUUGCAACAGCCAUCAGGGAGUGCAAGCCCCUCGACGUCCACCCUGACCUGUAUGGCGCUGUCAUGACCCAGGGUGGCUUCAGUGACGAGGCUCUCAUGGCAGCUCUCAGCCACCUGCUUGACAACAAGGCCCAGGGUGUUGGGUUCGUUGCCAUGGCAGACGCUCACAGGGUGCUGUGGAUCAGGAGCUGGUUGGGCAAGCACUACUACUAG